rnacentral:misc_RNA from 1 species
CUGCCAAUGAAUCUCUAUAUUCGAGUGGAAGUGAGAGAAAAAUGCAGUCAGUAAAGGGCUCUCUAACGUUUGAGCAUCAAUAUUUCACUAUUGUGAUACAUUGUGAACAAGGCAUUAGUGAAUGAUAGGGAAUGAAAUUUAGUAGGAUGGUGAAGGAAGGAUUCACUUAAAUUAGAUUAACACUGGAAUAAUGGCCAAUGACGGGUUUACUCUCUAUGCAUAAAUUAUUGAAUAUAUGUGUAAUGAGAUUAGCAGAUAAUGUACCUGGAGAAGGUCUAAAAGAUUGGAUUGCUGGUUUUCAAUCUGCACAAGUUGAUCACGGAUUAAAGAAAGAUCCUCAAUAUCUUUGUUCUCAAAGAAUUCUUCAUUUGGAUUGUUGGCCUCAACAUCCUUGUUAUAAAAGUUAUCAUCAUCAUUGAAUGGAACCACCCUUGACCCAGAUUUCAGACCACCAAAUUUGUGCUGUUUAUCUUCUCUGACACUACUGCAGAGGACAAGUUUUGUGUCUGGCGUACAUUUCUCCUUGUUUGGAUCCCCUCCUGAUUCAAAAACUCCUGAAUUGCACCUCUUGAUAUCAUCCCCACAGCCCGUGCCUUGUGGUAGAGCAAUUUCAAUUUUCCAGGUGGAGCUUUUCCUGUGGUCCAUUUUACGACACAUAGCUGUCUUUGAAUUGUCAUUGUUAGUCUUUACAGAGUAUUGUUUUCUGGCAGUGGUCACAGACGAAGCAUCCGAUGGAGGGGACCUGUUUGCGGGCACUGUUUUCUUUGGUUGAGGAGAUUUGAUACCAACUUCAUGAGAAUUAUCGGAGGCAGAAGGGGAGCUUUCACCAAUAGCUUUAUCUGUUGAAGAAGAUUUAGAUUGAGAUGAUACUGAAACUUGAUCAGAAACGCCAGGAACUUCCUUCCACAACUCCAAGGUACGAUUCAUAGUCUCCCGAACCGCCUUCACCUUAUCAAAUCUCCUGCUCUCCAGAGAACUCAAGCACGCAACUUUAUGCUCUUUUGACAACUCCUUCUCCGCAAGGGCCACCUUCCCCAAGGCCUCCGCCGCCGCCUUUCUGGUUGCCCAAUCCUCACUGCUCAGAAACUGCAGCAAACAUGGUACUAACCAAUCCAACACGCCCUUACUCGACGCGCCACCAACGCCUACAAUAUUUCCCAUCACGCUCAACAACGCCGCUUUCGCUUUAAAUCCCUCGCCCUUCACCAACUUCCCUAGCCUCGGCAACACCUUCCUCAACUGCUCCGCCUCCGGCUCUGGCGCCGCCUCAAUCGCAGCGGCCAAACACAUGGCCGCACCGAUCUGAGCAUUAAAAUCCUGCUCAAGCGUCAACAACUCAAUAAGCGGCUUCGACAGGGUAGAAAACGGUGGCUUGGUGAUCUGCGACGACAUAGCACUGGUGGCCUCGACGCAGGCGGAUCGGACAGCGGAGUCAGCGUCACGAAGGCGGCGAGUAACGGUGGAGAUCAUUUUGGAGAGGUGGGGAGAAAGCGAGUUGCCGUGGAAGUUGGAGAGAAGAGUCAAGAGGUUGACGCAUUCCUUGCGAACGAGAGACUUGGAAGAGGAAUCGGUGUUGUGAAUGCAGUUAAGGAAAGGGGAGAAGGAGUCGUGGCUGAGGGUCUUAGCGAUAGUCUCCAGCUCGGUGGUGGCGAGAGAGAGAGUGUCGCGGUCGGAGAGCUUAUUGAGAGAGGUGAUGACCCGGUUCUUGAGAUCGUUGACCGUUGAAGGAGGACUAGGUGGAGAUCUUUUCUGAGGAGACAUUGUGAUGAACUCAAAUUUGUGGGUUUGUGUUCGUCUCAGUGGUUGUGCAUUGGCGGUGGCUAUAGCGGCAGUGCCGGUGGCGGGGGAGAUGAUAGUCGUUUGUUAGUUGCAUUUAGUGAGGUGCUUCAAUGGAUAUUUAAAUUUUGAGGAAGGGGCCAAGGGGAUUUGGAAGUCAGCGGAAUUUUUUCCCUCCUAAAAAAAAAU